AACGAACGCUGGCGGCAGGCCUAACACAUGCAAAUCGAGCGCACCCUUCGGGGUGAGCGGCGGACGGGUGAGUAACGCGUGGGAACGUGCCCUUCUCUGCGGAAUAGCCUCGGGAAACUGAGAGUAAUACCGCAUACGCCCUUUGGGGGAAAGAUUUAUCGGAGAAGGAUCGGCCCGCGUUGGAUUAGGUAGUUGGUGGGGUAAUGGCCCACCAAGCCGACGAUCCAUAGCUGGUUUGAGAGGAUGAUCAGCCACACUGGGACUGAGACACGGCCCAGACUCCUACGGGAGGCAGCAGUGGGGAAUCUUAGACAAUGGGGGCAACCCUGAUCUAGCCAUGCCGCGUGAGUGAUGAAGGCCUUAGGGUUGUAAAGCUCUUUCAGCUGGGAAGAUAAUGACGGUACCAGCAGAAGAAGCCCCGGCUAACUCCGUG
rnacentral:rRNA from 1 species